GCAUUUACCAUCGAUCUCUCGCCGUCGCUGCCACCGUUAACCACCGUUGCUGCUGGCUGAGGAGUUGAAUCACCGAAACGGUCAGUGGGAAAUGUGUGUAUUUCCAUAAGUCUUUUUUUGUCAUUCCGAUCUAUAAAGUAUCGGCUGGUGAAUUUUUUUUUUCGGCGAAGGAGUUUGCUGUUAGGUCUAGGUGUUCCUUUUUAGUCUUUUUUAUGGCUUCGGAGGAUGUGAAGGCGGCGAGAGAUUCGGCUGUGGAGAAAAUUGUGAACCUGGCGGAAGAGGCUAAGCUAGCUAGAGAAGAAAUUAAGCCUACAAGCCAUGCUGUCCUCAGUAUUUGCAAGUCACUUGUCGCCGGAGGUGUUGCCGGAGGCGUGUCACGAACUGCU
rnacentral:misc_RNA from 1 species